AAAAAAUGCAAAUUUUGAUGAUCGUAGUACAAUCGUGUAGAUCGCAGUAAGGUCGUAGCACGGUCGUGGUGAGGUCUUCAAGAUCGUGAUGAGCGUGGCCAACUUUGAACAUGUUCAAAACAAUCGUGGUUCGGUCGUGAUGAAAACAGGUCGUAGUAGAAGCGUAGUGAGAGCGCACUAAGGUCGUGGAAAGAUCGCAAAGGUCGCUGUGCCAUCGUAGCGAGAGCGUAGCGAAAGCGUAGCGAAAGCGUGAUUCUAAUCGGAGAGACUGCGCUACGAUCUCACAGCGACGUUAUCACGACCUCACUACGACCAUCACGUUCUCAACGCGACCCAACUACGCUUCCACUACGACCAUACCACGUUUACACCACGCUGUUUAAGACCACAGUACGAUUCUAGCACGCCCUUGCCGUCCUCAUCACGCUCUUCUUACGACCUCACUACGUUCAUACUACGACUUUCAUUCUUAUUGUCAUUUUCACAUAAAAUAAAUGAAAUCUCUCAAGGUUUUGUUUGUCUGUUUGCAAUAAGGACUUCGUGUCCAUUUUCCAAACCAUGCUUCUCGUUUUUAUAUAGAUUAGACCGUUGGGUUUCCCGUUUGAAUGGUUUAACACUAGUAAUUUUGGGGCCCUUUAUAGUUUGCUGUUCGAUGUGAGCCAAUGUUUCGUGUUGAAAGCCGUACCUUGACCUAGAAUGGUUUACUUUUAUAAACUGUUACUUGGAUGGAGAGUUGUCUCAUUGACUCAUACCAUAUCUUCCUAUAUCUACUAAUAUUGACACAUGUGCGUCAUCUCUGCUAUCGUUCACUAAAAUAUCGUCAUUUGAGCUUG
rnacentral:lncRNA from 1 species